GACGAACCGUGCGAACGUUGUUCGGAAUUACUGGGCGUAAAGGGUUCGUAGGUGGCCUGCUAAGUCACACGUGAAAUCCCUCAGCUUAACUGGGGAACUGCGUGUGAUACUGGCGAGCUUGAGUGCAGGAGAGGAACGCGGAAUUCCAGGUGUAGCGGUGAAAUGCGUAGAUAUCUGGAGGAACACCGGUGGCGAAGGCAGGUCUCUGGGCUGACACUGACGCUCAUGCACGAAAGCGUGGGGAGCAAACAGG
rnacentral:rRNA from 1 species